UACCCAGACUUCACCAGGAGUCUUUGGCCUCCGUCGUUGCAUGCAGUAGGUGCACCUGAUGAAAUCUAGACUCAAUGCUUUGGAUCUGCUCUAGGCUUUCUUCCCUAACGAGUACAACCUGGUAGAGCAAAGAGAACCAUAGAGCACUCGGAAGAUGGCGAGAAGUCACCUUGACUUGUCUCGGUUAAAUUAAUAGGCUGGUGCUUGACCUUUUUAUUCCCAAUGCUUUCCAUGAGAAAAGCGGAACUUUGACAGACAGUCCAACACAAACAAGUGCUUCCAGUUAUGAGAUUUGCAAGUGGUGGAGAUCAUUCCUCAGAAGAUAAAACACAUCAUUAUUCUAUAUGCUUAUAAACUUCGAUUCAAGCUUUCACCUAUGGGUUGUUGUUAACUUGCAGGUAAAAUUUGCAUUGACUUCGUUCUGCACUAUGUUCUUGGUCUUCUUCUCUACGUAAAAAAAACAGCAAGGACAUUGUGUGUUUAUAUAUAGGUAGGUGUCUCAUCCCCUUCCACUACUCGAUAAGCACCACAGUCUUCUUGUUUGGCUCAAACACAUAGACAAAUCAGGUUCUUCUCCAUCCAUCAGGAAAGAGGAGCAUGAAGCUAUGCAUACCUCUCACUUGGUUUUUUUUUUUUUUGCAUCAUCAGCAAAGGGAAAUGGAGUGAUAAGAGGUUUUGUACCUUGAAAGGUACCCAGCAAGGGUGAUUUCUCUUUUGUUGUUGAUAUUACCUUUUUGCAUCAUCUUCAUCGGCCUUUGCAGAAGAAGAUAGUGAUCAAAGUGCAGAUGAAGUGCGACAGGUGCCGCGUCAAAGCCAUGCAGGUUGUUGCUGCAGCAGGCGCUGAUUCAGUUGCGGUGGAAGGGGAGGAGAAGGAUCAACUGGUGGUGGUGGGAGAUUGCGUGGAUCCUGCAAACUUAACAACCACCCUGAGGAAGAAAGUAGGCCAUGCAUGCAUAGUCAAGGUGGAGGAAGCGAAGAAGAAGGAAUCAGUGGCGUGGUGCUGCCCCGGUUACCCUCUACGUCAUAAGGUGGAGGCAGCGAAAGAAUCUGCGAGGUGGUGCUACCCUCCAUGUCAAAAGGUGGUGAUGUAUGAUCAUGAAAUCUAUGCCUCCGACCCUGGUGGUUGUUCCAUCUUGUAAACGAUGGAUCAUUAGGUUCCAGAAACUUUGGAUGUUUGGAUUAAUGAUAUCUUGGUAUUGUUAUUCUUCCUCUGAA